UACGGGGGGGGCAAGCGUUGUUCGGAAUUACUGGGCGUAAAGGGCUGGUAGGCGGCCAACUAAGUCGGAUGUGAAAUCCCCAGGCUUAACCUGGGAACUGCAUCCGAUACUGGUCGGCUUGAAUCCGGGAGAGGGAUGCAGAAUUCCAGGUGUAGCGGUGAAAUGCGUAGAUAUCUGGAGGAACACCGGUGGCGAAGGCGGGUCUCUGGGCCGAUACUGACGCUGAGGAGCGAAAGCGUGGGGAGCGAACAGG
rnacentral:rRNA from 1 species